rnacentral:rRNA from 1 species
UGAGCGGAUGAACUGAGGGUAGCGGAGAAAUUCCAAUCGAACCUGGAGAUAGCUGGUUCUCUCCGAAAUAGCUUUAGGGCUAGCCUCAAGUGAUGAUUAUUGGAGGUAGAGCACUGUUUGGACGAGGGGCCCCUCUCGGGUUACCGAAUUCAGACAAACUCCGAAUGCCAAUUAAUUUAACUUGGGAGUCAGAACAUGGGUGAUAAGGUCCGUGUUCGAAAGGGAAACAGCCCAGACCACCAGCUAAGGUCCCAAAAUAUAUGUUAAGUGGAAAAGGAUGUGGCGUUGCCCAGACAACUAGGAUGUUGGCUUAGAAGCAGCCAUCAUUUAAAGAGUGCGUAAUAGCUCACUAGUCGAGUGACACUGCGCCGAAAAUGUACCGGGGCUAAACAUAUUACCGAAGCUGUGGAUUGUCCUUUGGACAAUGGUAGGAGAGCGUUCUAAGGGCGUUGAAGCAUGAUCGUAAGGACAUGUGGAGCGCUUAGAAGUGAGAAUGCCGGUGUGAGUAGCGAAAGACGGGUGAGAAUCCCGUCCACCGAUUGACUAAGGUUUCCAGAGGAAGGCUCGUCCGCUCUGGGUUAGUCGGGUCCUAAGCUGAGGCCGACAGGCGUAGGCGAUGGAUAACAGGUUGAUAUUCCUGUACCACCUAUAAUCGUUUUAAUCGAUGGGGGGACGCAGUAGGAUAGGCGAAGCGUGCGAUUGGAUUGCACGUCUAAGCAGUAAGGCUGAGUAUUAGGCAAAUCCGGUACUCGUUAAGGCUGAGCUGUGAUGGGGAGAAGACAUUGUGUCUUCGAGUCGUUGAUUUCACACUGCCGAGAAAAGCCUCUAGAUAGAAAAUAGGUGCCCGUACCGCAAACCGACACAGGUAGUCAAGAUGAGAAUUCUAAGGUGAGCGAGCGAACUCUCGUUAAGGAACUCGGCAAAAUGACCCCGUAACUUCGGGAGAAGGGGUGCUCUUUAGGGUUAACGCCCAGAAGAGCCGCAGUGAAUAGGCCCAAGCGACUGUUUAUCAAAAACACAGGUCUCUGCUAAACCGUAAGGUGAUGUAUAGGGGCUGACGCCUGCCCGGUGCUGGAAGGUUAAGAGGAGUGGUUAGCUUCUGCGAAGCUACGAAUCGAAGCCCCAGUAAACGGCGGCCGUAACUAUAACGGUCCUAAGGUAGCGAAAUUCCUUGUCGGGUAAGUUCCGACCCGCACGAAAGGCGUAACGAUUUGGGCACUGUCUCAACGAGAGACUCGGUGAAAUCAUAGUACCUGUGAAGAUGCAGGUUACCCGCGACAGGACGGAAAGACCCCGUGGAGCUUUACUGUAGCCUGAUAUUGAAAUUCGGCACAGCUUGUACAGGAUAGGUAGGAGCCUUUGAAACGUGAGCGCUAGCUUACGUGGAGGCGCUGGUGGGAUACUACCCUAGCUGUGUUGGCUUUCUAACCCGCACCACUUAUCGUGGUGGGAGACAGUGUCAGGCGGGCAGUUUGACUGGGGCGGUCGCCUCCUAAAAGGUAACGGAGGCGCUCAAAGGUUCCCUCAGAAUGGUUGGAAAUCAUUCAUAGAGUGUAAAGGCAUAAGGGAGCUUGACUGCGAGACCUACAAGUCGAG